rnacentral:lncRNA from 1 species
AGAUGACCCUGUAUCAAAUGGCUAGCUACUUGAUUUAUUGUAACGCCCUCAAUAGUCCUAAAUCGGAUGGAAUACUGAUUUCGAUCAGUUUAUAUGAGGCCUAUGCGCUAGUAAUAAUAACUGGGCUUAAGCAUAUUGGGUCGAUGGUUUGGGCCCAACGAGUUAUUAUUGUUAGCGGGUCGGGUCGUUGCAAUUGGUAUCAAAACUAGGUUACCAGCCAGAAGUGUGAGAACUAAGCGCUAUGCAGGACAAAGUGCUACACCAACGGAUUUGGUGGGAGCCACAUUUUGAACCGUAGGAGCCACCUCUAAAAUCUCACAUCGCCUAGUUCUGGUCCUAGUCUGUCUGUGAUCUGGUUUGGACCCGACGAGGAUGUCAGGGUCUAAAUAGGGGAAGUUUGUAACGCCCCCAAUAGUCCCAUAUCGGAUGGGAUACUGAUCUCGAUCAGUUUAUAUGAGGCCUGCGCGCUAAUAAUAAUAAUUGGGCUUAAGCAUUUUGGGUCGGUGGUUUGGGCCCAACGAUUUUGGGUCGGUGGUUUGGGUCCAACGAGUUAUUGUUGCUAGCGGGUCGGGUCGUUGCAAUUGAGGAUGCACCACAUCGGAUGGGAUACUGAUUUCGAUCAGUUUAUAUGAGGCCUAUGCGCUAGUAAUAAUAAUUGGGCUUAAGCAUUUUGGGUCGGUGGUUGCUAGCGGGUCGGGUCGUUACAAUUGAGGAUGCGAUCAUACCGGCACUAAAUUUUGUUUGCAUUACAUAAU